UCCAGACUCCUACGGGAGGCAGCAGUGGGGAAUAUUGCACAAUGGGGGGAACCCUGAUGCAGCGACGCCGCGUGGGUGAAGGAGCGUUUCGGCGCGUAAAGCCCUAUCGGCAGGGAAGAAGGAGGACGGUACCUGACUAAGAAGCCCCGGCUAACUACGUGCCAGCAGCCGCGGUAAUACGUAGGGGGCAAGCGUUAUCCGGAUUUACUGGGUGUAAAGGGGGCGCAGACGGCAGCGCAAGCCAGGAGUGAAAGCCCGGGGCCCAACCCCGGGACUGCUCUUGGAACUGCGCGGCUGGAGUGCAGGAGGGGCAGGCGGAAUUCCUGGUGUAGCGGUGAAAUGCGUAGAUAUCAGGAGGAACACCGGUGGCGAAGGCGGCCUGCUGGACUGCGACUGACGUUGAGGCCCGAAAGCGUGGGGAGCAAACAGGAUUAGAUACCCUAGUAC
rnacentral:rRNA from 1 species